AUUCCGGAGAGGGAGCCUGAGAAACGGCUACCACAUCUAAGGAAGGCAGCAGGCGCGUAAAUUACCCACUCCCAGUUCGGGGAGGUAGUGACGAAAAAUAACAAUACAGGACUCAUAUCCGAGGCCCUGUAAUUGGAAUGAGUACACUUUAAAUCCUUUAACAAGGACCAAUUGGAGGGCAAGUCUGGUGCCAGCAGCCGCGGUAAUUCCAGCUCCAAUAGCGUAUAUUAAAGUUGUUGCGGUUAAAACGUUCGUAGUUGAAUUUGUGCUUCAUACGGGUAGUACUUCUACAAUUGUGGAUUGUACAUUACCUUAUGUAUGUAAGCGUAUUACCGGUGGAGUUCUAAUAUUUAUUAGUCUUGUACUUUUAUUUAUACCUCCUAUUUAAACUUGCAUUAGUGAUCUUCACCGAUUGCUUUUGUGGGCCGGUACAAUUACUUUGAACAAAUUAGAGUGCUUAAAGCAGGCUCCAAAUGCCUGAAUAUUUUGUGCAUGGAAUAAUGAAAUAUGACCUGUGAUAUACUUUCAUUGGUUUUUAUAUCAACAGGUAAUGAUAAAUAGAAGCAGAUUGGGGGCAUUAGUAUUACGACGCGAGAGGUGAAAUUCUUGGACCGUCGUAAGACUAACUUAAGCGAAAGCAUUUGCCAAAGAUGUUUUCAUUAAUCAAGAACGAAAGUUAGAGGUUCGAAGGCGA
rnacentral:rRNA from 1 species